rnacentral:rRNA from 1 species
GCUUGUCUCAAAGAUUAAGCCAUGCAUGUCUUAGUGUAAAUAACUCUUAUGAAACUGCGAAUGGCUCAUUAAAUCAGUUAUCGUUUAUUUGAUGGUCCCUUACUACAUGGAUAACCGUAGUAAUUCUAGAGCUAAUACAUGCGUCAAGUCCUGACUCUGGGUUAAACUAGGGGAGGGAUGUAUUUAUUAGAUAUAACAGAACCAAUAAAAGGGGGGUCACACUCUCUUUUUCCAUCAUUGGUGAAUCAUAGUAACUGUUCAGACCGCAUGGCUUCUUGCCGGCGGCAGUUCAUUCAAAUUUCUGCCCUAUCAGCUUUCGACGGUACUGUAGUGGACUACCGUGGCAUUAACGGGUGACGGAGAAUUAGGGUUCGAUUCCGGAGAGGGAGCCUGAGAAAUGGCUACCACAUCCAAGGAAGGCAGCAG